CCUACGGGCGGCUGCAGUAGGGAAUAUUGGACAAUGGAGGAAACUCUGAUCCAGCCAUCCCGCGUGAAGGAUUAAGGUCCUAUGGAUUGUAAACUUCUUUUCUUUGGGAAUAAAAUCUCCGAUUCCUCGGAGCUUGAAGGUACCAGGGGAAUAAGCACCGGCUAACUCCGUGCCAGCAGCCGCGGUAAUACGGAGGGUGCAAGCGUUAUCCGGUUUCACUGGUUUUAAGGGGUGCGUGUAUGUUUGUGGAGAAAGCCUACAGCUUAACUGUAGAAUUGCCAUUGAUACUGCUUAACGUGAAUCAAGUCGAGGUGGAUGGAAUAGAUCAUGUAGCGGUGAAAUGCUUAGAUAUGAUUUAGAACACCAAUUGCGAAGGCAGUUCACUAGGCUUGUAUUGACACUGAGGCACGAAAGCGUGGGGAUCAAACAGGAUUAGAUACCCCAGUAGUC
rnacentral:rRNA from 1 species